GACGAACGCUGGCGGCGUGCCUAAUACAUGCAAGUAGAACGCACAGUUUAUACCGUAGCUUGCUACACCAUAGACUGUGAGUUGCGAACGGGUGAGUAACGCGUAGGUAACCUGCCUGGUAGCGGGGGAUAACUAUUGGAAGCGAUAGCUAAUACCGCAUAAUAUUAAUUAUUGCAUGAUAAUUAAUUGAACGGUGCAAUUGCACCACUACCAGAUGGACCUGCGUUGUAUUAGCUAGUAGGUGAGGUAACGGCUCACCUAGGCGACGAUACAUAGCCGACCUGAGAGGGUGAUCGGCCACACUGGGACUGAGACACGGCCCAGACUCCUACGGGAGGCAGCAGUAGGGAAUCUUCGGCAAUGGACGAAAGUCUGACCGAGCAACGCCGCGUGAGUGAAGAAGGUUUUCGGAUCGUAAAGCUCUGUUGUAAGAGAAGAACGGGUGUGAGAGUGGAAAGUUCACACUGUGACGGUAUCUUACCAGAAAGGGACGGCUAACUACGUG
rnacentral:rRNA from 1 species